rnacentral:rRNA from 1 species
GACGAACGCUGGCGGCGUGCUUAACACAUGCAAGUCGAACGGAAAGGCCCUGCUUUUGUGGGGUGCUCGAGUGGCGAACGGGUGAGUAACACGUGAGUAACCUGCCCUUGACUUUGGGAUAACUUCAGGAAACUGGGGCUAAUACCGGAUAGGAGCUCCUGCUGCAUGGUGGGGGUUGGAAAGUUUCGGCGGUUGGGGAUGGACUCGCGGCUUAUCAGCUUGUUGGUGGGGUAGUGGCUUACCAAGGCUUUGACGGGUAGCCGGCCUGAGAGGGUGACCGGCCACAUUGGGACUGAGAUGCGGCCCAGACUCCUACGGGAGGCAGCAGUGGGGAAUGUUGCACAAUGGGAGGAAGCCUGAUGCAGCAACGCCGCGUGCGGGAUGACGGCCUUCGGGUUGUAAACCGCUUUCGCCUGUGACGAAGCGUGAGUGACGGUAAUGGGUAAAGAAGCACCGGCUAACUACGUG